rnacentral:tRNA from 1 species
CGAAAUGUAGCUUAAUUGGUAAAGCACCAGCGCGAGAGUUGGAGAUGGAGGUUCGAGCCCUCCUAUUUCGU